GACGAACGCUGGCGGCGUGCUUAACACAUGCAAGUCGAACGGAAAGGCCCUGCUUUUGUGGGGUGCUCGAGUGGCGAACGGGUGAGUAACACGUGAGUAACCUGCCCUUGACUUUGGGAUAACUUCAGGAAACUGGGGCUAAUACCGGAUAGGAGCUCCUGCUGCAUGGUGGGGGUUGGAAAGUUUCGGCGGUUGGGGAUGGACUCGCGGCUUAUCAGCUUGUUGGUGGGGUAGUGGCUUACCAAGGCUUUGACGGGUAGCCGGCCUGAGAGGGUGACCGGCCACAUUGGGACUGAGAUACGGCCCAGACUCCUACGGGAGGCAGCGGUAGGGAAUAUUGCACAAUGGGCGGAAGCCUGAUGCAGCAACGCCGCGUGCGGGAUGACGGCCUUCGGGUUGUAAACCGCUUUCGCCUGUGACGAAGCGUGAGUGACGGUAAUGGGUAAAGAAGCACCGGCUAACUACGUG
rnacentral:rRNA from 1 species